UGGGGAAUAUUGGACAAUGGGCGCAAGCCUGAUCCAGCCAUGCCGCGUGUGUGAAGAAGGCCUUUUGGUUGUAAAGCACUUUAAGCGAGGAGGAGGCUACUUGGAUUAAUACUCUAAGAUAGUGGACGUUACUCGCAGAAUAAGCACCGGCUAACUCUGUGCCAGCAGCCGCGGUAAUACAGAGGGUGCGAGCGUUAAUCGGAUUUACUGGGCGUAAAGCGUGCGUAGGCGGCUUCUUAAGUUGGAUGUGAAAUCCCUGAGCUUAACUUAGGAAUUGCAUUCGAUACUGGGAAGCUAGAGUAUGGGAGAGGAUGGUAGAAUUCCAGGUGUAGCGGUGAAAUGCGUAGAGAUCUGGAGGAAUACCGAUGGCGAAGGCAGCCAUCUGGCCUAAUACUGACGCUGAGGUACGAAAGCAUGGGGAGCAAACAGG
rnacentral:rRNA from 1 species